AGGAAUAUUGGACAAUGGGCGAAAGCCUGAUCCAGCCAUGCCGCGUGAAGGAUGAAUGCCCUAUGGGUUGUAAACUUCUUUUAUACAGGAAGAAACCUUUGGAUUUAUCCAGAGCUGACAUUACUGUACGAAUAAGCAUCGGCUAACUCCGUGCCAGCAGCCGCGGUAAU
rnacentral:rRNA from 1 species